AUGAACUGAAGACCUCUAUUUAUCCAGAGAACAGGAACGGCACAAGCAGCAACAGCACCCGAAACUUGCCCCACCCUGCUUUGUUAAUUUGCUUCAGCCUUGAAAUGGAGUGGCCAGUGGUGAGAAAGUAGGCCAGCCUCCAUGCAGGGCCAGC
rnacentral:sRNA from 1 species